rnacentral:piRNA from 1 species
UCUAAGAAAGACUGUGCCUCCAAUU